rfam:Geobacteraceae bacterium GWC2_58_44 gwc2_scaffold_482, whole genome shotgun sequence.
AAAUUCCGCACGGCCAAAGCCUAGCCAGCAGGCCGCUAAGCGAGUCUUGGGUGGGGAAGGGUAACCCAACUGCCAAGCGUAGACAGCGAACAUUCGAGCCGUGUGAUUGAGCCUCGAAAUACAGUUUUUGUAGGGCUAACGAUGUCUAAUCAAUCGGACUGCAGCAUCGAAUACAUCGACAUUGGCGAGAUGUAUUCGGCCUACCGGGGUCGGAGAGCA